UACGUAGGGUGCAAGCGUUAAUCGGAAUUACUGGGCGUAAAGCGUGCGCAGGCGGUUAUGUAAGACAGAUGUGAAAUGCCCGGGCUUAACCUGGGAACUGCAUUUGUGACUGCAUGGCUAGAGUUUGGCAGAGGGGGGUAGAAUUCCACGUGUAGCAGUGAAAUGCGUAGAUAUGUGGAGGAACACCGAUGGCGAAGGCAAUCCCCUGGACCUGUACUGACGCUCAUGCACGAAAGCGUGGGGAGCAAACAGG
rnacentral:rRNA from 1 species